ensembl:snRNA U6 U6 spliceosomal RNA
GUGCUCGCCUCGGCAGCACAGACACUAAAACUGGAAAGAUACGGAGAAGAUUAGCAUGGCCCCUUCGCAAGGAUGACACGCAAAUUCGCAAAUAGCUUGGCAGCAAG